GGGGUUGUAGCUCAGUGGUAGAGCACUUGCCUUGCAUGCAGGAGACAUUGGGUUCGAUUCUCAGCACCACA
rnacentral:tRNA from 1 species